rnacentral:misc_RNA from 1 species
UGAGAAUAGCAGGAGGAA